rnacentral:piRNA from 1 species
UGCUCUCACAGCAGAUGACAGGGUGAUUGUU